rnacentral:rRNA from 1 species
CCUACGGGUGGCAGCAGUGAGGAAUAUUGGUCAAUGUGCGUAAGCCUGAACCAGCCAAGUCGCGUGAGGGCUGAAGGUUCUAUGGAUCGUAAACCUCUUUUAUAAGGGAAUAAAGUGUGGGACGUGUCCUAUUUUGUAUGUACCUUAUGAAUAAGGAUCGGCUAACUCCGUGCCAGCAGCCGCGGUAAUACGGAGGGUCCGAGCGUUAACCGGAUUUAUUGGGUUGAAAGGGUGCGGAGGCGGCGUUUUAAGUAAUGGGUGAAAGUUUGUGGCGCAACCAUAGAAUUGCCGUUGAAACUGGAGGGCGUGAGUAUGUUUGAGGCAGGCGGAAGGCGUGGUGUAGCGGUGAAAUGCUUAGAUAUCACGCAGAACCCCGAUUGCGAAGGCAGCCUGCCAAGCCAUGACUGACGCUGAUGCACGAAAGCGUGGGGAUCAAACAGGAUUAGAUACCCUAGUAGUC